rnacentral:rRNA from 1 species
GACGAACGCUGGCGGCGUGCUUUACACAUGCAAGUCGAACGGUGAAGGUGGAGCUUGCUCCGCCGGAUCAGUGGCGAACGGGUGAGUAACACGUGGGCAACCUGCCCCUAACUUUGGGAUAACUACUCGAAAGAGUAGCUAAUACCGGAUAUGAAGUCUGUAGGCAUCUAUGGAUUUGGAAAGUUUUUCGGUUAGGGAUGGGCCCGCGGCCUAUCAGCUUGUUGGUGAGGUAGUGGCUCAUCAAGGCGACGACGGGUAGCCGACCUGAGAGGGUGAUCGGCCACACUGGGACUGAGACACGGCCCAGACUCCUACGGGAGGCAGCAGUAGGGAAUCUUCCGCAAUGGACGAAAGUCUGACGGAGCAACGCCGCGUGAGUGAUGAAGGCUUUCGGGUCGUAAAACUCUGUUGUUAGGGAAGAACAAGUGCUAGUUGAAUAAGCUGGCACCUUGACGGUACCUAACCAGAAAGCCACGGCUAACUACGUGCCAGCCGCCGCAGUAA